CAGACUUGCACGUUUGCUUACAUAUACUAGAGUUAGAACUGUGCUUGGGUAGGUACUUUGAGAUCAUUGGAAUAAAGAUAGCAUGUGAAAACAGAAUAAUUAUGAAAACGUCUUCUUUUAUACAGCACUUUGUACUUUUUAAAUUGCUUUCACUGCUGUCACAUCAAACCUCUUCACACUUCUGUAGGACAGAUAAAGCACAAUUAUUUCUCUGUUACGCAGAUGGGGAAACAGACCUAGGCAGGGAUAUAGUGACCUGCCCACAGGUCUAACAGCAUUUGAGUGAUAAUUAGAACUAAAGUGGAGGAAUUUUUAUUUGAGAAGUUGAGCAGUGAGAGUCAAAAUCUUCUUAGGAGCUGUAGGUUUUUGUACCAAUGGAGAGAUCUCUUUUUCUGUUGGAUAUGAUUGACAAUGUUAGAAGAGAUAUUCACUGGAGGAAGGCCCCGCAGAAGGAAUGAGGAACAGACCUCUGGCCUGUAUUGUGCCUCCAUUGUCUCUGGUGUAGUUGUGCAUAUUGUGAGAUUACAGAUGGGAAAGAAAGAGAUCUUCACCCUCAGCUCAAGAGAAGAAAGUAAGGGUGCUGUAGGAACAGAUGUCACAGUAAAAGCAUGCCAAUCUAAGUGUGCUCAAGGGAUUUUAUGCUAGUUGGCCUUAGGUUCUGGUAAGAGAUAAGGUGGGGCAUCUGCCAAGAGUACAUAAGGGAUCAGGGGCUUGGAAAGUGUGAAGAAAGUUUGAGAUAGCUGUUGUGUGCUUAAAAUUAACUAAAGAUGAAUAAAAAGACUGGCCCCUUUCAUUGAGAGUGGGGACUUUGUUCUCUGCUGUAUCCCCAGCACCUAGUAUACACAUUGCACAUAGUAGGUACUCAGUAAAUAUUUGUUGAAUCAGGCAGAUUCCUGCCUAGGUCUGUUUCCCCAUCUGCAUAACACAAAUAAGGCUGGCUAACCCUGUGCCAUCUCCGUAAUAGUCUUCAUCUUCUCUUCACUUUCCCAUUCAUUUCUCUAUAUUAGUUGAAUACAUGAAUGAAGACAGGAAUAAGUUCCUCACUGAAGUUACAAGCCUUUUUAAGAACAGCAAGCCCCUGGCAGCCACCAUUCUACUUUCUGUCUCUAUGAAGUCUGACUGCUCUAGGUACCUCAUGUAAGUGGAAUCAUACAGUGUUUGUCUUUUUAUGAUUGGCUUAUUUUACUUACUAUAAUGGCCUUAAGGCUCAUCCAUGUUGUAGCAUGUGUCACAAUUUCCUUUUUAAGGUGGAACAAUAUACUCCAUUGUAAAUACACACACCACUCAUCUGUUGAUGAACACUUGGGUUGCUUUUGCCUCUUGUGAAUAAGGCUGCUAUGAAUAUAAGUGUACAACUAUCUCUUUGGGACCCUGCUUUCGAUUCUUUUGGGUAGGAACCCAGAAGGGCACUACUGGAUCAUAUGGUAAUUCUGUGUUUAAUUUUGAGGAACCACAAACUCCUGAGUUCAAGUGAUCCUCACAACUCAGCCUCCCAUACUGUUUCCAAAGUGGCUGCACCUUUUCACAUUCCCACCAACAGGGCAAAAGGAUUCCAGUUUCUCCACAACCUUGCCAACACACUGCCCAGGAGGCAGAGGUUGCAGUGAGCUGAGAUCGCGCCACUGCACUCCAGCCUGGGUGACAGAGUGAGACUCCAUCUGAGAAAAAAAGAAAAAAAAAAAAAAGACCUGAUUUGGCUAUGGGGGUUCUGCCCUCAUGAAUGGAUUUAGGUCAUUAUCACAGAGUGGGUUGGUCUAAAAGUGAGUUGGGCCCUCUCUGUCUCUUACGCUCCUGCCUUUGCUUGCCCUUCUGCCAUGGGGUGAUACAGCAAGAAGGCCUCUGCCAGAUGCAGGCCUCUUGACCUUGGACUUCCCAGCUUACGGAACUAUAAGAAAUACAUUUCUUUUCCUAUAAAUUACCCAGUCUGUGGUAUUCUGUUAUGGCAACACAAAACAGACGAAGGGAUUUUAAUGGGAUGGUUGGAAACUGAAUGUGGACUACCUAGAGUGGACACCACCUUGUUGGUUGUAGCAAAGCCAUGUUAAAAGGUAAGCCUAUUGCUACAAUGUAAGGGUAGGUAAUAUUUUAUUUACAUACUGUAUCAUAAGUAUCAACAUUAUAAAGGGGAUAAGUACACUGGAGCUUAAUGUUGUGUUCCUGUCUUCUAUAACCAUUUGAUCACUAUGUCUAUUCCUAAUAAAUCUCACCUGUUCUUUAAAAAUAUCCUAGUAAUUCUUUGGGUUUUGAAUCUUUACUCUCCAUUAUAAGUAUGUAUACAUCUAAAUUUUAAAAAUAUGCAUGCAGGCAUUCUGACUAGAUCUCCAAGGCUUGGCCGACCUGUUAAAUGACAUAACUCAAGUAAAUUAUCAGACAUAUCAGAAGUACAAACUUGAUGGGCUUGGUUGAGAUAUAGUGAUCCUCAGAGUGCUGUCUGGUGACCCCUGCACUCUCCUCUCUGACAGGAGAGCUCAGCCUUACCCUUUGCUGAAGAAGUGAGUUCUCUUUACCCCUUCUUCUGCCUCUGAUGUCUUCUCAUCUCUAAAUAUGGUCUGUACCCCUCACACCACAAAUAAAAGUGUUCUUACUUCAGCAAAACUAUAGGGAGGGGCUCGUCGCCACUGGAAUUGGUUCUAACGGUUGAAACUCAUUCCUCAUUCAGGAUCCUUCCACAGGUCCACAGUGCUUUAUUUGCAGCUCAGGGUUUCAGACCUUUCUGGGUAUCUUUUGUAAGCUCAUUUGGGGCAAAACCUGACGUGGACUGCCACGAGACUAUUCAUAGUCUGUAUUUUUCCCAUCUAGUGUGAUUAUUUGUAUGUUUGCUGCAGAAAUAUCAGUGCUGGAUUCCUUGGUACACACCAGACCUCGCCAGGGAUGUAUGCACAUAUGUAUGCACUGUAUUACCUUUCUAAAAUCUGAAAAAUACUGAAUUCUGAAACAGCUUUGUUCCAAGGGCUAAUGAAUCUGUGCUUCUCCUGAACUUGCUACAAUUUGUAAUCCCCAAAUAAUAUAGUUUGAUAAUCAUCUCAGUUUUUUUUCUUUAGAGAAAAUUUGGAAAACACAGAAAGGCACAUUUAUGCAAAAAGCAUUCACCUGUAAUGCUGCUACCCAGGGAUAUCUGCUGUCAACAUCCUGGCACAUUUUUUUCCUAGUAAAAUUGGGAUUACAUUUUAUAUACAUCAUAUCAUUUGGUAUUCUGAAUCUUUGAUCCAACACAGUAGUAUAAUCAUUUUCCAGACCACUAAUCAGUCUUUGAAAACAGUAAAAAUUUUAUUUUAUUUUUUUGAGACAGGGUCUUACUCUGUCACCCAGGCUGGAGUACAGUGGCGCGAUCUUGGCUCACUGCAACCUCUGCCUCACAGGUUCAAGUGAUUCUCCCACCUCAGCCUCCUUAGUAGCUGGGACUACAGACGUGUGCCACAGCCAGCUAAUUUUUGUAAUUUUUGUAGAGACGAGGUUUCACCAUGUUGCCCAGGCUGCUCUGAUACUCCUGGACUCAAGCGAUCCACCCACCUCGGUCUCCCAAAGUGCUGGGAUUAUAGGCAUGAGCCACCACACCUGGCCAACAGUCAAAAUUUUAAAACCGGCUGGGCGCAGUGGCUCACGCCUAUCAUUCUAGCACUUUGGGAGGCCGAGGCAGGUGGAUCACGAGGUCA
rnacentral:lncRNA from 1 species